GGCUCCUGUACCUCCUUCCUGAUGGUAGCAAUGAGAAGAGACCAUGUCUUGGGUGAUGGGGAUCCCUAAUGAUGGAUGUUGCCAUUUUGAGGCAUCACUCCUUGAAGAUGUCCUGGUUACUAAGAAGGCUACUCUCAGAUGGAGCAGGCUAAGUUUACAACUCUCUGCAGCUUAUUUCGAUCCUGAAUAAUGAUGAUGCAGCCAGUUAGAAUGCUCUCCACAGUGCAUAUGAAGAAAUAUGCGAGUGUCUUUGAUGUCAUACCAAAUCUCCUCAAACUCCUAAUGAAGUAUAGCCGCUGUUGUGCAUUUUUUUGUCACUGCAUCAAUAGGUUGGACCCAGGAUAGAACCUCAAACACACUGACACCCAGGAAUCUAAAAUUGCUCACUCUAUGAGGACUGGUGUGUGUUCCCUUGUCUUACCCUUUCUGCCGAUGCAUAUCACAAGACUUGGUUAUGCAGCCGCUGACGCCAGGCAGUAUUGAUAAUGGCUAGGGUCACCAGUCUUGCAACGUCACUGCCCAAAAGGUGGCAAUUACAAACCACUUCUGUAUAAAAGUUUGGCAAGAACAGUCACAGUCAUGAGACCAUGAUCGCCCACAUCACACGACACGGCACAUAAUGAUGAUGACUUCUUUAUUACUGACUGCAAUGGGUAGAGUAAAUUAUGUACCACAGUAGCCUUGGAGAUGUGCUCUGUUUCAAGAAUAAUACAUUCUUCUGAAGGACAUACAGUACAAUAUAUCCUUCCAGACUGUACAUUAACAGGAGUUACUUGCAAUCAAGUAAAAUGAAAAUGGAAUGCAAUGGAGGCAAGAAGACCAGUCACAUUGUCAAUCCAGAAGAAUAUAACAAGCUCAAGAAAAUAUUCACAAAAUAUUAAGACCAUACGACAUAGGAGCAGAAUUAGGCCAUCUCGCCCAUCGAGUGUGCUCCGCCAUUCAAUCAUGGCUGAUCCUUUAUUUUCUCCUCCUCAACCCCAGUUCCCCGCCUUCUCCCUGUAAUCUUUGAUGCCAUGGCCAAACAAGAAUCUAUCAAUCUCUGCCUUAAAUACACCCAACGACCUGGCCUCCACAGUUACAUGUGGCAACAAAUUCCACAAAUUCAUCACCCUUUGGCUAAAGAAAUUUCUCCACAUCUCUGUUUUGAAAGGGCGCUCCUCUAUCCUGAGGCUGUGUCCUCUUGUCCUAGACUCUCCCACCAUGGGAAACAUCCUUUCCACAUCUACUCUCUCUAGGCUUUCAACAUUCAGAAGUGUUCAAUGAAAUCCCACCCCACCCCCCCAUCCUUCUGAAUUCCAGAGUACAGACCCAGAGCUAUCAAACGUUUCUCAUAGGAUAACCCUUUCAUUCCUGGAAUCAUACCUGUGAACCUCCUCUGGACCCUCUCCAAUGCCAGCACAUCUUUUCUAAGAUGAGGGGCCCAAAACUGUUCACAACACUCAAGGUGAGGCCUUACCAGUGCCUUAUAAAGCCUCAGCAUCACAUCCUUGCUCUUGUAUUCUAGACCUCCUGAAAUGAAUGCUAACAUGGCAUUUGCCUUCCUCACCAGCGAUUCAACCUGCAAGUUAACCUUCAGGUUGUUCUGCACAAAGACUCCCAAGUCCCUCUGUAUCUCAGAUUCCUAGAUUUUCUCCCCAUUUAGAAAAUAGUCUGUUCAUUUAUUUCUACUACCAAAGUGCAUGACCAUACAUUUUCCAGCAUUGUAUUUCAUUUGCCACUUUCUUGGCUACUUUCCUAAUCUAAGUCCUUCUGCAUCCUACCUGUUUCCUCAACACUACCUGCCCCUCCAUCAAUCUUCCUAUCAUCUACAAACUUGGCUACAAAGCCAUCUAUUCCAUCAUCUAAAUCAUUUAUAUACAGCACAAAAAGAAGUAGUCCCAACACCGACCCCUGUGCAACACCACUAGUCACUGGAAGCCAACCAGAAAAUGAUCCUGUUAUUCCCACUUAUAACUUUGUUCACUUUUGUUGACCUAGAGGUAAUAAAACUAUACACACAAGAACGUCUGCAGAUGCUGGAAAUCCAAAGCACCACACACAAGAUGCUGGAGGAACUCAGCAGGUCAGGCAGCAUCUAUGAAAAUGAAUAAACAGUUGACGUUUCAGGCCGAGACCCUUCUUCAGGACUGGAAAGGAAGAGGGGAAGUGCCAGAAUAAAAAGGUGGGGGAGGAGAAGGAGAUAGAUGAAGCCAGGUGAAUAGGAAAGAUAAAGGGCUAGAGAGGAUGGAAUCUGAUAGGAGCGGAGAGUGGACCAUAGGAGAAAGGGAAAGAGGAGGGGCACCAGGGGAAGUGAUAGGCAGGUGAGAAGAGGUAAGAGGCCAAAGUGAGGAAUAGAAGAAGAGGGAAGGGAAAGGAAAAAAACGUUACUACAAGGAGAAACUGAUAUCAAUGCCAAAAGGCUGCAGGCUACCCAAUUGGAAUAAAAGGUGCUGCUCGCUCCUCCACCCUGAAGGUGGUCUCAUCUUACCACAGGAGGAGUCAUGGACUACACGUCAGAACAGGAACGGGAAUUAAAAUAUUUGGCCACCAGGAAGUUCCGCUUUUGGCGGAUGAAGCAGAGGUCAAAUGCCACAUAAGUAAUAUGCCAGUAGAGAAUUUUUUUUCUAGGAAUGACAAAAAUCUGAAAAGAUACUUACAAGUAAAGGAAAGUGGUGAGAACAGAAUGAAGGGGGCAAGAAGAGCGGCUUUCUUGUUCAUAUCAUUUCAACAGGUCUGAAUUUGAUGAGAAAUAUUGUAACUGCGAUCUGAAAUUAUUAUAAAUAAUGCUAUAUUUUUCAAUAUAGUGGUAGUUCAUGCUAAAAUGCCAUUAAACAGAAUAUCCUACAAAAAGCAGCGGAUAUGGCCAAGUUCGUCGUGAGUAAGCCAUCCCAACCAUUGAGUGCAUCCACAUGGAGCAAUUUCACAAGAAAGCAUCUUCCAUCAUCGGGGACCUCCACCACUCUGGCCAUGCUCGCUUCUUGCUGCUACGGUCAGGAGGGUGGUACAGGAGCCUCAAGGAUCAUACCAAUGUGUUCAGGAACAGUUAUUACCCCCUCAACCAUCAGGCUCUUGAACCAGUGGAAGUAACUUCACUUGCCCAGCACUGAAAUGUUCCCACAAUCUAUGGAACAACGCACACACAAAAUGCUGGCAGAACACAGGCCAGGCAGCAUCUAUAGGGAGAAGCGCUGUUGACGUUUCGGGCCAAGACCUUAGGUCUGCAGAUUUCAUGUUUGCUCCACAAUCUAUGGACUCACUUUCAUUGACUCUUCAUCCAUGCUCUUGAUAUUUAUUACUUACUUAUUUAUUAUCAAUUCUUUUUCUUUCUUUUCAUUUUUGCACAAUUUGAUGUAUUUUUCCCAUUGGUUGUCCAUCCUGUUGGUGUGGUCUUUCAUUGAUUUUAUUAAGGUUUUUGGAUUUAUUGAGUGUGCUUGCAAGAAAUGAAUCAAAGGGUUGCAUAUAGUGACAUAAAUACUUUGAUAAUAAAUUUACAAUAAACUUUGAAAUGAGUUAGGCUGAUUUAAAAUCUAAAUCCUGCCAAAAAGUAGUAUUCCUUCUGAAAUCAUUGCUCCAUAGAAAUGAAAAUCCAAUUCACCUCAAGAUGCUGGACAGAGAAGUAAAGAUACAGUGGAAGAGAAGAUUCGGCAAAACAAAACUCAGAAAAGAGAAGAAUUACAAGGUAUGAUAGACAUAAAGAGACACAAGGGAGAACAGACAGUAUUCGAUCAUACAGAGAGAAUGGCAUGUCAUACUACUGAACUACAAUCCAAAUAGUCACACAUUCCCAAACCAGCUCUUCCACUCUCAUAUCCUACCAUGUUUCUACAUUUUGCAUCAACAUUUUACCACUACAAGCCAUUUACUCAUAGAUGUUCAGAGCUUCCAUCCACACCAGGUUUCUAUAGUCACUCGCACUCCUCUAUUUUAUCUCUAGCCCAUGAAUCCAAGUCUCACCUUUUCCAAAUUGCUUUACAAUCUCUCUACCAUCUUCAUCCUGAACAUUAAAGACUUUCUGCUUUUAUGACUCCUGCGCCCCUCCAGCUGAUAUUCUCUAGUCCUCAUAAACCAAACAUAGAAAACCUCAGCACAGAUGCAAACCCACCGGCUCAUCCAAUCCGUGCCAAACCAGUUGAUCUGCCUAGUCCCAUUGACCUGCACCCAGACCACAGCCCUCCAUACCCCUCCCAUCCAUGUAUCUAUCCAAACUUCUCUGAAUGUUGAAAUCAAAAUUGUAUCCAUCAUUUGUGCUGGCAGCAUGAUCCACACUCUUAAUGGAUCAAUGGUCAAUGGAUCUUUCCAGGCAAACAUUUUCAAGAAAUAUGGCAAAAAUAGAUUAAGAAACUAAACAGGCUGAGGAAUAAUGAAAUAAAGACAAAAAAUUAUAUCACAGAAGUUCUGGUGAAGAUUAUUUACCCUAAAACAUUAAUACUAUGUCUCUUUCCACAGAUGCUACUUGACCUGCUCAGCAUUCUCUAACAUUUUCUACUUUUCCAUUUUAGAUUUCCAGCAUUUUGAUUUUUAGGUCAAGAAAUAAUGAUCUGCUACAGCACUGAUCAAGUUCCAAAAGAUUUUUUUUAAAUAAUUUGUCAAUACAUGUAGUUAUCCUCACAAUUAUCCGCGUCAUAGUGUAACCUUCCUCUAUUUCUACACCAACUUGCUUGUGUAAAGAGGGUUUCUUCUUUUUUGUUAACUAGCAGGAAUGCUAAUUUACUGAUAACGAGAAUGGUAUUCCUUUGUAAACCAAAUGGGGAUUAAUGUUCUUUCUUCUGAGUCUGUAAGCUUUUGUUGACGGGCUUUUGGGCAGAUCGGUGCGAGGGGGUCGAGGGAGAGGACGCAAUGCCCUAAGCUGGGCGAGGAUCGGACCCCAAAGGGGGGUCCGAGGCCGGGAGAUUCUCCGAGGAGAGGGGGGGGAUGAAGCUAGAUGUGCUUGGUUGACCACUCGGAGGGUCCUGAGCUGUUUGGAGAGUCCGAGGAGUUCGGAAGGUCCUGAGCUGCGAGUCGAGGAGUUCGGAGGGGAUCGAAUGGUGGCCAGAAGACUUCAGAAAUUGAGCUCCAACAGCUGUGCACGAAGUGGUUUGGACUUUGAUAAGUUUGGCACCUUUUCUUUAAUUUUCUCUUCAUAUAUACUGUAUCGUUAUUAAUCACUUAGUUAUAGUAACCUUUAUAAAUUGUACUCAUUUAAUCGCAUAUGGUGUACUGUCUGUUUUUGGGUGAGGCGGGGACAUCACACAGCAUCCACACCAGCUGAUUACCCAGUUUGGCGGGGCUGAAGGCUGCUCCCCCCUAGACAAGAACGAGCUGAGCGAGCCUGAGGCGACCCAGGGGGUUACACUUGGUAACAAAAGUGGACACACAAAUGCAAGCUUUCUCCGACCCAUAUAAUAAUCACUAAAUUUGGCUGACGGUGUAACGUCUCCUGGGGAUGGACAUUGGGGGAGUAGAAAGGGCAGUGGUUCUUGAGCAACUCAAUCAGACUCACCCUUUCCUUGAUAACUUCCAAGAGGACCACAACCUCGUCGUGGUUUGGAAGCUUGUGUGCCUCAAUGACCCAGAGAGUUGUGUUGGCUGGAGUCAGGGCUUUUCGGUUUGGUUCUAAACAGGUCAAAGGGAAGAGGCCAGAAUAAUAUCAGUCCACUGAUCCUCCAGUUUCGGGGGUUCAGCUCAGUGCUAAUAACCCUGUCAGGUAAAGGAAAACUCUUAUGGAAACAGCAAUGAAGAAUCCUCUAUAUCUGUAUGUGACUGAAUGGACAGACACAGAAGGAGAGCCUUCAUUGCUGCCCUAAACACCAGUAAUGGGCAGCAAGUAAGUAAUGAAGUUACAGCAAAAUCCCACAAAAGGUUUCAAGACUUCAUGCGUACUACAAUGUCAUACACUUGACGAUCAAAAGUUUUCUCUGAAGCACCUCAUCACAGAACUUUUAAAGCUUUAGAUAUACAAUAUUGUUCAAAAGUCUUAGGUACAUAUACAGAAUAUAGCUAGGGUGCCUAAGAAAUUUUACACAGUGCUGUAGUAAUUUUAUGUACUUCUGCUGUAAAAACACCAAAAUUCAUGACAUAUGUGAGUGAUUACAUGCUUCCAAUAUGGGUCUCUAUUGUGGACAGAGUGGGAAGGGGGCAGAGCGAGCAGAAUCAGAUUGGGAAAGGGGAAAGGAGAGCAGAGGGAGCAGGAAGCUCAGAGAGACAUUGUUUAAUGAUCAGUAAAUCUAAUGUUUGGAAU